rnacentral:rRNA from 1 species
UUCCAGCUCCAAUAGCGUAUAUUAAAGUUGUUGCAGUUAAAAAGCUCGUAGUUGAACUUUGGACCAGGCCGAUCGGUCCGCCUACCGGUUGGUACUGAUCGGUUUGGUCUUCCCUUCUGGCGAUCUAGGCUGCACUUUACUGGGUGGUCUAGAGAACCAGGACGUUUACCUUGAAAAAAUUAGAGUGUUCAAAGCAGGCUCACGCUUGAAUACAUUAGCAUGGAAUAAUAGAAUAGGAUUUUGGUUCUAUUUUGUUGGUUUCUAGGACCGAAGUAAUGAUUAAUAGGGACAGUUGGGGGCAUUAGUAUUUCGGUGUCAGAGGUGAAAUUCUUGGAUUUCCGAAAGACUAACUACUGCGAAAGCAUUUGCCAAGGAUGUUUUCAUUG